rnacentral:rRNA from 1 species
UACGAAGGGGGCUAGCGUUGCUCGGAAUCACUGGGCGUAAAGCGCACGUAGGCGGAUUGCUAAGUCAGGGGUGAAAUCCUGGAGCUCAACUCCAGAACUGCCUUUGAUACUGGCGAUCUUGAGUCCGGGAGAGGUGAGUGGAACUGCGAGUGUAGAGGUGAAAUUCGUAGAUAUUCGGAAGAACACCAGUGGCGAAGGCGGCUCACUGGACUGGUAUUGACGCUGAGGCGCGAAAGCUAGGGGAGCAAACAGG